rnacentral:misc_RNA from 1 species
UCAAGUGCGGCAUGGCCCCUUGGCCGAGGCCCGGUUUCUUGCGUUGCGUACCCACGCGGUGGCAUCCGUUUUUGUCCCAACGACCCUCGUUCGUUUAGUGCUCCCCGUCCUGGUGGGGGCACAUGGCGAAACCUUGUAGCUUGGCCCGUUGCCCACGUCGCGUCCGGCUGUCGUGGGCGAACGGGGCAGUGCUUGAGCUCUCGGAUGUGGAAAGCAUUGAGGGCAUUGGCAUCUGAUCCUUGCCCGAGCAUGCAUUAAGAUGGACCCCCCAAAGACCGGUGCACGACUGUCGCUCCCGCCUCGGUUCGGCCGUGCGGGCAGGACGUCGUUGAGGAAUGCUACCUGGUUGAUCCUGCCAGUA